rnacentral:rRNA from 1 species
UACGAAGGGGGCUAGCGUUGUCCGGAAUCAUUGGGCGUAAAGCGCGUGUAGGCGGCCAGAAAAGUCCGCUGUGAAAACUCGAGGCUCAACUUCGAGCUGUCGGUGGAAACUUUCUGGCUAGAGUCCGGAAGAGGAGAAUGGAAUUCCUGGUGUAGCGGUGAAAUGCGCAGAUAUCAGGAAGAACACCCGUGGCGAAGGCGGUUCUCUGGGACGGUACUGACGCUGAGACGCGAAAGCGUGGGGAGCGAACAGG